rnacentral:lncRNA from 1 species
GAUUUUGCUAAAUUGAAAUACAUUGAUACAUUAACGCCUACUAAUUCGGAAGGAUCAAUCUCAUCUUUACUUAUAUAGGGACUUAACAAGUACUUGACUGUACCCAGAAAUCUUUCGUCACUGAAUUUAAAACUCAGUUAGUCCAGUACCAAAAUAUAGUGAGUUGCUUGUAAGUCACCGUGAUGAUCUCAUAUUGGAAGGACACUUAUACCCAUACCCUUCGUGAGCUACCCUUGACAGUAGAGUACUCCAUAGUUGGUCACGUUCAGUGAUGAUAUACUCCUACAUCUCACUUGUAUGCCAUACCAGUAUCUCCA